GGCCGAUUAGCUCAGUUGGUUAGAGCGUCCUGCUAAUACCGCGAAGGUCGCAGGUUCAAGACCUGCAUGGGCCA
rfam:Nicotiana sylvestris Nsyl_contig84727, whole genome shotgun sequence.